rnacentral:rRNA from 1 species
UACGUAGGGGGCAAGCGUUGUCCGGAAUUAUUGGGCGUAAAGAGCGCGUAGGCGGUCCGGUAAGUCAGCUGUGAAAGUCAAGGGCUCAACCCUUGAAAGCCGGUUGAUACUGUCGGGCUAGAGUCCGGAAGAGGCGAGUGGAAUUCCUGGUGUAGCGGUGGAAUGCGCAGAUAUCAGGAGGAACACCAAUAGCGAAGGCAGCUCGCUGGGACGGUAUUGACGCUAAGGCGCGAAAGCGUGGGGAGCAAACAGG